rfam:Naegleria gruberi genomic scaffold NAEGRscaffold_65, whole genome shotgun sequence.
GGGUGAGUAGCUCAGAGGGAGAGCAUGGACCUCCAAACGUGUUAAUCUCUUACAGGUUACACGGAUGCCCCAUGGACGUUGGAUCGAAACCAACCUCAUCUC